GUUUGGCCCAACAAGCAGCUCUCUGCAGAGCGGAACAUACAAACAUGGAGAGAUAGAGAGCUUUCAGAGUGGACACAAACGCACAAGAGUUCAACUGAGUUACAGGCAGCAAGAUCUGUGUAUUCAUCUUGGAUGCAACACAGAGUAACCACACCGACCUGAGACGCAUAACGUUUUUAAAUUCUUUCAACUUUCUCAGUGCAGUCUCACCGUUGAGAAGUGUUUGUGCUGUACUUUGUUCUAUCUGUACAUACUGUAUGAUGGCACAGUAAAUCUCAGGUCAUCAGUA